GGACAUUACCGAGUUUACAACUCCCAAACCCCUGUGAACAUACCUAUACGUUGCCUCGGCGGAUCAGCCCGCGCCCCGUAAAAAGGGACGGCCCGCCCGAGGACCCCUAAACUCUGUUUUUAGUGGAACUUCUGAGUAAAACAAACAAAUAAAUCAAAACUUUCAACAACGGAUCUCUUGGUUCUGGCAUCGAUGAAGAACGCAGCAAAAUGCGAUAAGUAAUGUGAAUUGCAGAAUUCAGUGAAUCAUCGAAUCUUUGAACGCACAUUGCGCCCGCCAGUAUUCUGGCGGGCAUGCCUGUUCGAGCGUCAUUUCAACCCUCAAGCUCAGCUUGGUGUUGGGACUCGCGGUAACCCGCGUUCCCCAAAUCGAUUGGCGGUCACGUCGAGCUUCCAUAGCGUAGUAAUCAUACACCUCGUUACUGGUAAUCGUCGCGGCCACGCCGUAAAACCCCAACUUCUGAAUGUUGACCUCGGAUCAGGUAGGAAUACCCGCUGAACUUAAGCAUAUCAAUAAGCGGAGGGAAAAAAACCAACA
rnacentral:rRNA from 1 species